rnacentral:snRNA from 1 species
UCUGUGAAACCAGCCUCA